CCCGACUGCUAUUUGGGUGAGGAUAAGCCAUGCGAGUUGAAUGGGAAACCUAAAGUUCCCAUGGCAAACUGCUCAGUAACACAUGAUCAACUUACCCUAUAGAGAAAAAUAACCUCGGGAAACUGAGGAUAAUGUUUCAUAGUUGAAUUGGCUUGGAAAAGUUUUUCGACGAAAGGGGUAAAAAAAAUGGUUUUUAUCUGCUAUAGGAUAGGAUCGUGUUCGAUUAUGGUUGUUGGUGAGGUAAUGGCUCACCAAGCCGAUAAUCGAUAGGGGCCGUGAGAGCGGGAGCCCCGAGACGGGUACUGAGACAACGACCCAGGCCUUACGAGGCGCAGCAGGCGCGAAACCUCCGCAAUACACGAAAGUGUGACGGGGUUACCCAAAGUGUUCAAUUUUGAACUGUGGUAGGUGAGUAAUGUUCCCUACUAGAAAGGAGAGGGCAAGGCUGGUGCCAGCCGCCGCGGUAAAACCAGCUCUUCAAGUGGUCGGGAUAAUUAUUGGGCUUAAAGUGUCCGUAGCCGGUUUAGUAAGUUCCUGGUAAAAUCGGGUAGCUUAACUAUCUAUAUGCUAGGAAUACUACUAUACUAGAGGGCGGGAGAGGUCUGAGGUACUGCAGGGGUAGGGGUGAAAUCUUAUAAUCCUUGUUGGACCACCAGUGGCGAAGGCGUCAGACUGGAACGCGCCUGACGGUGAGGGACGAAAGCCAGGGGAGCGAACCGGAUUAGAUACCCGGGUAGUCCUGGCCGUAAACGAUGCAUACUAGGUGAUGGCACGGCCAUGAGCCGUGUCAGUGCCGUAGGGAAACCGUUAAGUGUGCCGCCUGGGAAGUACGGUCGCAAGGCUAAAAC
rnacentral:rRNA from 1 species